rnacentral:rRNA from 1 species
AGCGAACGCUGGCGGCAGGCUUAACACAUGCAAGUCGAGCGGGCAUCCUUGUGGUGUCAGCGGCAGACGGGUGAGUAACGCGUGGGAACGUGCCCUUCGGUUCGGAAUAACUCAGGGAAACUUGAGCUAAUACCGGAUACGUGCGAGAGCAGAAAGGUUUAUCUGCCGAAGGAUCGGCCCGCGUCUGAUUAGCUAGUUGGUAAGGUUAUGGCUCACCAAGGCGACGAUCAGUAGCUGGUCUGAGAGGAUGAUCAGCCACACUGGGACUGAGACACGGCCCAGACUCCUACGGGAGGCAGCAGUGGGGAAUAUUGGACAAUGGGGGCAACCCUGAUCCAGCCAUGCCGCGUGAGUGAUGACGGCCUUAGGGUUGUAAAGCUCUUUUCUUCGGGACGAUAAUGACGGUACCGGAGGAAUAAGCCCCGGCUAACUUCGUG